UAACGCGAAGAACCUUACCAGGUCUUGACAUACUAUGCAAAUCUAAGAGAUUAGACGUUCCCUUCGGGGACAUGGAUACAGGUGGUGCAUGGUUGUCGUCAGCUCGUGUCGUGAGAUGUUGGGUUAAGUCCCGCAACGAGCGCAACCCUUAUUAUCAGUUGCCAGCAUUAAGUUGGGCACUCUGGUGAGACUGCCGGUGACAAACCGGAGGAAGGUGGGGAUGACGUCAAAUCAUCAUGCCCCUUAUGACCUGGGCUACACACGUGCUACAAUGGAUGGUACAACGAGUUGCGAACUCGCGAGAGUAAGCUAAUCUCUUAAAGCCAUUCUCAGUUCGGAUUGUAGGCUGCAACUCGCCUACAUGAAGUCGGAAUCGCUAGUAAUCGCGGAUC
rnacentral:rRNA from 1 species